UUCAGGUGGGAGUUGUUCUGAGCAUGGGUGUCAACAGCGCGUAUGCACUAGGAUAUUCUGGCACAAUCAUGGUUCCUCUAGGUUGGAUAGGUGGUGUUGUUGGUUUGGUUAUGUCCACAAUUGUGUCUUUGUAUGCAAGUACUAUUAUGGCUAAGCUCCAUGAAGUUGGGGGCAAGAGGCAUAUCAGAUAUAGAGACCUUGCCGGGUUUUUGUAUGGUCGG
rnacentral:misc_RNA from 1 species